AGCCUGACAUUGUAAUGAGCCAUAGUAAGGAUGGGAGUGAAACCAAGGACGAAAGAUUCUCCCACAAACAGGGAUGGCUCCAAAGCCCUCUGCUUAAAGCAGAAAGAGAGAGGAGCAGAAGACGUGGGAAUGUGACCUGUCUCAACGUAAUUCACGUAUUUGGAGCCUGCACGGAUGGACCAGCGCCGUCGGGAACAGCACAGAAAACUGUUUCUUACGCUCCUGUGCUCUGGGUUAAGCAUCUUCUCUCUUCUGUCGGAAGCGUGGUUCGUGGGAGAUAACAAACAAUUCAGUUUGGAAAAUCAACAAAAGGUUGGAUGUACAGCUUCAGUGCUGUGAGUUUUACCCAAACCUAAUCCCCGAUGCAUCCAAACUCUGCCAGAGCCCCUGCCCACCCCCGAGUCUGUCCCGACAGUGCCCAGCAGGCCUGAGAUGGCACCGAUCCCUGCCAUGCGGGAAGGCAGGGGGCCGGGUGGUGGGUCAGGAGGCCUGGGUUUCACUUUGGUGUGGACCCUGUUUUCUUACCCGUCUUCCGUCUCGCCUCACUGUUCUGCACUCAGAACAAUAGUACUGGGAGCAAAGAGGGGGGAAACCCGGGUGUGAGCAGCCCCUCACAACAUCCUGAGGGGCAUUACCCUGUCGGCAUGUUGCUUGGCCUGCCCCAUAGCGUGUCCCUCGGUUCUCAGCCACCCCAGGCCUCCCGGCCCCGUGGGGCAACCCCUCCGGCCUAGCUGUGCUCUGAAGGGGGAGUGACCCCUCCGGCCUAGCUGUGCUCUGAAGGGGGAGUGACCCCUCCGGCCUAGCUGUGCUCUGGGGCAGCCCAGGGUUGCACAGCGAGAGGCGUUCUCCACGGCUUCUGACUAACCCUGAGUAUAAUGUUAGGCCCAGAAAAGCUUCAACAAUAAAAAUAGCUUCAGGAAGGUGGCA
rnacentral:lncRNA from 1 species